rnacentral:tRNA from 1 species
UAAGAAGAGGUGUGAGUGGAUGCACGAAGGGUUUUGAUCUCUUAAGGAAAGGUUCAAAUCCUUUUUUCUUAG